rnacentral:lncRNA from 1 species
CGCGCCGCUGUAGUCGGUGCGCGCCAAGCCCCUUGCUCCUCCCCCUCCCCUUUUCCUUGGGGGAGCGGGGAGGGGGGGUCCACGAUGUGACUAAAGUUCAGGAGCCCUGGAAAGGAGAAGGAAUAAGACGACAGGAGGAAGAGAGAGAGAGGGGAGAAUGGAAGAGUCUCACUUCAAUUCUAACCCGUACUUCUGGCCUUCUAUCCCCACGGUCUCAGGGCAGAUUGAAAACACUAUGUUCAUCAACAAGAUGAAGGAUCAGCUGUUGCCAGAGAAGGGCUGUGGACUGGCACCACCUCACUAUCCCACUUUGCUGACAGUGCCUGCCUCAGUGUCCCUGUCCUCUGGCAUCAGCAUGGACACAGAGUCCAAGUCAGAACAGCUGACCCCACACAGUCAGGCAUCUGUUACCCAGAACAUCACAGUGGUCCCUGUACCAUCUACAGGACUCAUGACUGCGGGAGUCUCCUGUUCUCAGAGGUGGAGAAGAGAAGGGAGUCAAUCAAGGGGUCCUGGUUUGGUAAUCACAUCCCCUUCAGGCUCUCUUGUGACCACAGCCUCAUCAGCUCAGACUUUCCCUAUCUCGACUCCCAUGAUUGUCUCAGCUCUUCCCCCUGGCUCACAAGCCCUACAGGUGGUCCCUGACCUCUCCAAGAAGGUAGCAUCAACCCUAACUGGCUCUAAAUGUCGCCAGCCUUCCGUUCUAUGCUUACCUGUAAAAGAACAGAUUUUGCACGUGGCCUGAUCCCUGUGAGCCAUUUUCUUCCCCUUACAUGGUCUCACUUCAUAUUGGGUGGUGACUAUACCUUUUUUAUUUGUAAGGGGGGCAAUAGCUGAUACAUGGUCACCAAGGUGCCAGAGAUUCCCCAGGUGACCAACGGUGGCUUAAGAGUGUGAGUUACCAUUUUUCCUUACAACCUCCUUCCUUCUCUGCCAACCAAGGGCCUAUAUACUCAGUCUCACUACCCCAGUCCAAGGAGCUCUGGGAGCUGUGUAAGCUGUGUUCUCUGCGAUGCCAUCUGGGCUUUGCAGAGAAGGGAGAAUUCAGGGCACACACAGGACUGGACUUAGCCUCCCUAGGUGCCACGGUCAGAUGCCGGACAUGGAUUUAUAUAUAAAUAUAUAUAUAUAAAUAUAUAUAUAUACCUGCUCAUCACGGCCAUCUUUGUUGUAACCAUUUCUGUGUUUAUAAAUGCAUUAUCUCUGAGAAUUUU